UACGUAGGGGGCAAGCGUUGUCCGGAUUUAUUGGGCGUAAAGAGCGUGUAGGCGGCCAGGUAGGUCCGUUGUGAAAACUCGAGGCUCAACCUCGAGACGUCGAUGGAAACCAUCUGGCUAGAGUCCGGAAGAGGAGAGUGGAAUUCCUGGUGUAGCGGUGAAAUGCGCAGAUAUCAGGAAGAACACCGGUGGCGAAGGCGGCCUGCUGGGCAGUUUAGCUGACACUGAGGCGCGACAGCGUGGGGAGCAAACAGG
rnacentral:rRNA from 1 species